CUAUGAAGUCAAUAAAUGGUGAUGGAGAGGGAAUCAAUAAUUCAUGGUAUAAGAAAGCAUGAUGCUAAAGAGAGUAGAUAGUUGGGUUAGAGAAUGGAGUGACCAAUGCAUGAAUGUGUAUAUGUUCUCUCCAGAGCUAUAUGAUCUUUUUUUGUAAGUGAGAGGGGAGCCCCUAUUUAUAGUGGAUGUAGAUAGAGGGUCCCUUGUUGGAUGUCGAUCAACCAUCUAAGCAUGUCGACCUGUCUUUGGCAAAGCAGGAGGUUGUUUUAUGUGUGUCAGGUGGCUUGGUGAGCAGAG
rnacentral:lncRNA from 1 species